rnacentral:tRNA from 1 species
UGCAGCUCAGUGGUAGAGUGCUUGUGCAGUAUGUGUGAGGUCCUGGGUUCAAUCCCCAGCACUGCAA